GUUCUUUGUACUACUUAGGUCACUUGUGAGUUUGAGUAGUUAAAAGUAAUAUACCGGGUGGUGCGUCGCCGAGCGGAACAUAGGAAAACCCAAGUAAAUUUUAAGGGGGUCAAUUAUUGGCUUCUCUGUACAUUUUAUAGAAAAAAUAUAAGAUGACUUUUUGAAGAGACCAAUCUGGCAAACCCUUGUGCAAAGUUUCAAAAAAUUUUAAUAAGCGAAUCUUUAAUUAUUCAAUAAAAUGUAAUUGCAAAAUUGGCAAAUUUUCGGUUCAGGUAAAACCAAACGGGCACCAGUAAAACGAGUAUUGUCACUGACGUGAGGAAAAGUGUUAAUAAAUCAGUGACAGUCGAUAUUUGAAAACAAGUAUGAAUUAUUUAAUCGACGAAAAAAUAGUCAUAAUUAAGUGGCUUUAUGCAGGAAGGUUUUAUUUUCAGUUUAUUUCCCCACCAAGCCCAUUCCGUCUAUUUCAACUAUUACACGUGUUGUGCAUGUGAGUUCACACACGUACUCUGGUUCGGUUUUCAAUAAAAAACACUAUUUUGCAAUUAAGCCGAAUUAUUGAAUGGAAGUGAUGUGUUUGCCGUUGAUGAUGGCUGAAAUCUUAAUACUGAAUGACUGUGAAAGAGAGGAGUUCUACAUUAGUAAAGAGGGCGCGAGAAGCGCUUACAUUAAAGGAGAUCGUACGCUUAAGGAUUAUUAUUUAUGCAACGACGGAACAUACCGCCCCCUUUGAAAGAAUUAACUUUCAAAACAUAAAACAGCAUAAGUAGAUAUAAGAUACGUACAUAUACCUUAAAGUAUCAAAGUGUUAAUUUAUAUACAUUAGAGAACAAAAAGAGAGUUAUACACAAAUAUUACUUAGUUACUUAAACUUAACUAAAACAAACCUAAAUCUAAAAUGUGCAUCUUAAAAGCUAUGCUUACUCUACAGAUAACAGAAAUUAAAUAAGUGUUAAUUUACAAAAUAACAUUUUAGGUCUGACAUUUGAAUUGAACUAACCUACUGUAAUAUUUACAUUUUGCCAAAGUCAUUAUUGUUUAUUGGCAAUACACACAUUUUUGAAAUUGCACGCUUUAUGACACCAUGGUUGGUUUGAACGUUCACUACCCCAACUACAUCGUCUUUACCCGGAAAACACUCCGUAACACGACCGAGCUUCCAAAAUAGUGGAGCUGUAUUAUCGUCUUUUAUGAUUACUAAAGUCCCUACCUUAAUGCUAGGAAACAAAGUGUUCCAUUUGGACCUUUCUUCUAAAGUAUUCAGUUAACGGUUGACCGAUUAAAAAAUGACCUGGUGUUAAAACCGCUAGAUCAUUGGAGUCACUAGAAAGAGGUACCAAUGGCCUUGAGUUCAACACAGCCUCAAUUUGUACAAAAACAGUUCAUCGUUAUAUUAAAUAAAAGUUUAGUUAAAAAAGUAAUGUUAACGUGUCUUACUUUGAAUGUAUGGUUGUGAUAUUGAUAAAACGAAAAAAACACAUUUCUUGUAUUCGGCUGUACGUCAGAUUUGACAAAGCCUUAUAACAAAUUGUUUGCUGGUGU